rnacentral:rRNA from 1 species
GAGUUUGAUCCUGGCUCAGAUUGAACGCUGGCGGUAUGCUUUACACAUGCAAGUCGAACGGCAGCACGGGGCAACCUGGUGGCGAGUGGCGAACGGGUGAGUAACAUAUCGGAACAUGUCCGGAAGUGGGGGAUAACGUAGCGAAAGUUACGCUAAUACCGCAUAUGCCCCGAGGGGGAAAGGGGGGGAUCGCAAGACCUCUCGCUUUCGGAGUGGCCGAUAUCGGAUUAGCUAGUAGGCGAGGUAAAGGCUCACCUAGGCGACGAUCCGUAGCUGGUCUGAGAGGACGACCAGCCACACUGGAACUGAGACACGGUCCAGACUCCUACGGGAGGCAGCAGUGGGGAAUUUUGGACAAUGGGGGCAACCCUGAUCCAGCCAUACCGCGUGAGUGAAGAAGGCCUUCGGGUUGUAAAGCUCUUUCGGCAGGAAAGAAAUCGUGCAGGCUAAUAUCCUGUAUGGAUGACGGUACCUGAAGAAGAAGCACCGGCUAACUACGUGCCAGCAGCCGCGGUAAUACGUAGGGUGCGAGCGUUAAUCGGAAUUACUGGGCGUAAAGCGUGCGCAGGCGGUUCCGUAAGACAGAUGUGAAAUCCCCGGGCUUAACCUGGGAACUGCAUUUGUGACUGCGAGACUAGAGUGUAGCAGAGGGGGGUAGAAUUCCACGUGUAGCAGUGAAAUGCGUAGAUAUGUGGAGGAAUACCGAUGGCGAAGGCAGCCCCCUGGGCUAACACUGACGCUCAUGCACGAAAGCGUGGGGAGCAAACAGGAAUUAGAUACCCUGGUAGUCCACGCCCUAAACGAUGUCAACUAGGUGUUGGGGAAGGAGACUUCUUUAGUACCGCAGCUAACGCGUGAAGUUGACCGCCUGGGGAGUACGGUCGCAAGAUUAAAACUCAAAGGAAUUGACGGGGACCCGCACAAGCGGUGGAUUAUGUGGAUUAAUUCGAUGCAACGCGAAAAACCUUACCUACCCUUGACAUGCCGAGAAUCCCGAAGAGAUUUGGGAGUGCCCGAAAGGGAACUUGGACACAGGUGCUGCAUGGCUGUCGUCAGCUCGUGUCGUGAGAUGUUGGGUUAAGUCCCGCAACGAGCGCAACCCUUGUCAUUAAUUGCCAUCAUUUAGUUGGGCACUUUAAUGAGACUGCCGGUGAUAAACCGGAGGAAGGUGGGGAUGACGUCAAGUCCUCAUGGCCCUUACGCGCUGGGCUACACACGUGCUACAAUGGCGACUACAGUGGGCUGCAAUCCCGCGAGGGUGAGCUAAUCUCCAAAAGUCGUCUCAGUUCGGAUUGUUCUCUGCAACUCGAGAGCAUGAAGGCGGAAUCGCUAGUAAUCGCGGAUCAGCAUGCCGCGGUGAAUACGUUCCCAGGCCUUGUACACACCGCCCGUCACACCAUGGGAGUUGGAUUCACCCGAAGGCGUUGCGCUAACUCGCAAGAGAGGCAGGCGACCACGGUGGGUUUAGCGACUGGGGUGAAGUCGUAACAAGGUAGCCGUA